UUGACGGUGGUCUUCUCGCCGUACCAGGCGAGCGAGGGCGCAACGAGGCUGCGCUGAACAGUCCCGAAAUUCCGCCAGUAGUCGUUGUCCUGAUAAUCGCCGAUGAAACGAUAGGCGAAGCCGUUGUCUCCGAUAGGACCGGUGAUGUCCGCGGUCGCGCCGCCGCCGUUGAAACUCGUGCCGUUGACCGACACGGUUCCGCGUUGCUGAAGUUCGGGCCUCUUGGUGAUGAUGUUGACCACGCCGCCGGGAUCGAGGACGCCGUAGAGCAUCGACGAUGGGCCCUUGAGCACCUCGACGCGAUCGGUGGUUGCCGAGAAGUUGCUCGGUAGCGCCGUGCGGAAGCCGUCGCGCAGGAUCGAUC
rnacentral:misc_RNA from 1 species